rnacentral:rRNA from 1 species
GACAGAGGUGCCGAGCGUUAGGCGGAAUCACUGGGCUUAAAGCGUGUGUAGGCGGAUCGUUAAGCACCUUGUGAAAUCCCACGGCUUAACCGUGGAACUGCUUGGUAUACUGGCGAUCUUGAGCCACUUAGGGGCUACCGGAACAAAUGGUGGAGCGGUGAAAUGCGUAGAUAUCAUUUGGAACGCCAAUGGUGAAAACAGGUAGCUGGGAGUGUGCUGACGCUGAGAGCGAAAGCCAGGGGAGCAAACGGG